rnacentral:rRNA from 1 species
AUACGUAGGGGGCAAGCGUUGUCCGGAAUUAUUGGGCGUAAAGCGCGCGCAGGCGGUUCUUUAAGUCUUGUGUUUAAUCCCGGGGCUCAACCCCGGUACGCAUGGGAAACUGGGGGACUAGAGUGCAGGAGAGGGAAGUGGAAUUCCACGUGUAGCGGUGAAAUGCGUAGAGAUGUGGAGGAACACCAGUGGCGAAGGCGACUUUCUGGCCUGUAACUGACGCUGAGGCGCGAAAGCGUGGGGAGCAAACAGGAUUAGAUACCCUGGUAGUCCACGCCGUAAACGAUGAGUGCUAGGUGUCGGGGGUUUCGAUACCCUCGGUGCCGAAGUCAACACAGUAAGCACUCCGCCUGGGGAGUACGCUCGCAAGAGUGAA